rnacentral:lncRNA from 1 species
UAUUUUCUGACCCAGCAUUUCCAUUUCUGGGAGUUUAUUCUACAGAAAAACUCCCACAAAUGCAGAAAGGAUAUGUAUACAGAAACACUGUUGCAGCAUAGUUUAUAAUGGUGGAAACUUGGAAACAACCCAAAUAUCCACAAACAUGGGGCUGGUUACAUAAACCACCAUAUAGCCACACUAUAGACUGCAUAUCACUAUUUGAAAGAAUGAUGCGAGCCUCUAUGUAUUUUCAUGAGAAGAUGUCUAAUAUAUUUUGAUGGGGGGGGGAACACAAGGAUGAACAGUAUACACAGUUCUAUUUUUGUUUUAAAACAGAGAUAAUAUGUUAGAAUAUGUAUAAAAGUUUCAGAAGAGAAGGCACUAAAUUGUUGAUGAUAGCUAUUUCUGGGGGAGUCAGUAUGGGGAUGGCUCUGCUUUCUACAUUUUGUAUUUCUGCAAUCUUUUGGGUUUGUGUAUCUGUGCAUUACUUCUGUGAUCAGAAAACACAAAGAGCAAACAAGAGGUAAUGAACCACGUGAGGCCAAACUAGGAUGGUGGAGGGAAGGGGCAGAUGCGAGAGUUAUUGAUGAUGACACAGACAAAAUGUAUACCAUGAAAUUAAUACACAAAAUGUGUGUCAUGAAAUUUAGGCUGGGUGACUGGGAAGGUGAUGGCCCUAUAACCAGCAUGUUAGCACAGAAUAGCCACUUUUCAGUUAAAUGCCCAGAUUAUAAUUUGGCAUCUCUCACAAGUGACAGCCACCAUUCUGGUUUUACCCUUUUCUGGCCACUCAGCCCAGUGUGACAAAAGCCCUUUCCUUCAUUCCCCACAGGACAGCAGAGAAUGGGCUGCCAAUACCACCCUUAAACUUAAGCAAAAGGACCCUUCCCUGAACCCACACACAUGCACACACACACACAUACAUACACACAAACAUUGUUAAUGAACGCAGGUGACUUGGAAAUUCCACUCCUAGGUAUAUCCCCAGAAGAACUGAAAAUAUGGCCAGGCGCGGUGGCUCAUGCCUGUAAUCCCAGCACUUUGGGAGGCCGAGGCAGCCAGAUCACUUGAGGUCAGAAGUUCAAGACCAGCCUGGCCAGCAUGGUGAAACCCUGUCUCUAGUUAAACACAAAAUUAAAAAACAAAAAAUUAGCCAGGCAUAGUUGUGCAUGCCUAUAAUCCCAGCUACUCAGGAGGCUGAGAGAGGAGAAUCACUUGAAUCCAGGUAGUGGAGGUUGCAGAGAGCCAAGAUCACACCACUGCUCCCCAGCCUGGGCAGCACAGUGAGACUCUGUCUCAAAAAAAAAAAAAUUGAAAAUUCAUGCCCACACAAAAACGUGUACAUGAAUGUUCAUGGCAGCAUUAUUCAUAAUAGCCAGAACCCUAAUGGCCAUCAACUGAUGAAUGGAUAAACAAAAUGUGGUGUAUCCAUACACUGGAAUCUCAUUCAGCCAUGAAGUACUGACAUCUGCUACAAUAUGGGGGAGCCUUGAAAAUAUUGUGCUAAGUGAAAGACAUAAGUCACAAAGGACACAUAUUCUACAAUUCCAUUUAUAUUAAACAUCCAGAAUAGGCAAAUCUAUAGAGGCAGAAUGUAGAUUAGUGGCUGCCAGGGGGUUGGGGAGGGGAGAAUGGGAAGUGACUGCUAAUGAGUACGGGGUUUCUCUUGUACUGAUGAAAACAUUCUGGAAUUGGUGGUGAUGGUUGCACAACUCCGAAUUGUACUAGAAACCACUAAAGUAUUCUCUUUAAAUGGAUGAAUUUUAUGGUAUGUGAAAAUGUUACAAUAAAUCAAACACACAUGGCUGGGAGCAGUGGCUCAUGCCUGUAACCCCAGCACUUUAGGAGGUCAAGGUGAGAGGAUCAUUUGAGCUGGGGAGGUUGAGGCUGCAGAGAGCUGUGACCAUGCCACUGCACUCCAGCCUCGGUGACAGAGUGAGUGAGACCUUGUCUCAAACACACACACACACACACACACGUGCAGGUACCUCAUUCUCUCAGGAGCUGAACUCAGUGCUGGCACAGGGCACCACAUAAUCCUAACAUCUUCUUUUGUGACUAACAUUUCUGCACAUCUCUCACCUUAUGUCUUCAAAACAAAGGCAACGAAAUCCGAACGCUGUAAAGGUGUGUGGGUUGCCGCACAACCAAUGUUGCUGAUGAACUCUGCUUUAGAAUACAGGGAAGAUUUCAGUGGAGAAUUGUUUCAGUAAAAGAAAAGACAAAUGAAUUAAUUUGUCAAACCCUUUUAUAUAAGCACAACAUAUCUUUCACCAGAAGGGCUGAAUGUUCGUUUUCUUCCUUCCCUUCCUGUUUCAAACACGACUAUGGAAGUAUUCGUCGACUACCAGAGCAUUCUUAACUGUUGUGCACAGUAGUUGAGGAAUAUUUUCAAUAUCGAAUAAUUUGUAUUAUGGAGCCAGGCAUGCUGGCACACCUUGCUAAUUUUUGUGUGUUUUUCGUAGAAACAGAGUUUUGCCAUGUUGCCUAGGUUUUGUUAUUUUUAAAUGUACAAUUUUGUUUUACUAUAUUCGCCCUGUCGUGCUAGCAAAUACUAGAUCUUAUUCAUUCUUUUUUUUUUUUUUUUUUUGAGACGGAGUCUCGCUCUGUCACCCAGGCUGGAGCGCAGUGGCGCGAUCUCGGUUCACUGCAACCUCCACCUCCCAGGUUCAAGCGAUUCUCAUGCCUCAGCCUCCCAAGUAGCUGGGACUACAGGCAUGCGCCAUCACGCCCGGCUGAUUUUUGUAUUUUUGGUAGAGACGGGGUUUUGCCUUGUUGGCCAGGCUUGUCUUGAGCUCCUGACUUCAGGUGAUCCACCCGCCUCAGCCUCCCAAAGUGCUUAAUUUUGGCCUCCCAAAAUUAAGCCUCCCAAAGCUACCUCGCCCAGCCUUAAUUUCUUAGUGUUUUACAUUUAUUGCAAUGUAUAUUUUAAUGAAAAAUAUUCAGAUUCUAUACUUUUUAGAAAAAAUGACUUUUAUACUUUUAUCUAGAUCAUUACUAUCAACAGCACACAAAUUAGGUGAAGAUCUUCAUCAAAUUAAUAUAAUUUGUGAUUUUCUAAAAUAAAGGCAAGAAAAAUAAACGUUAUGGAAAAAUAGAAUAAUUUAUAAGUGACAUUUACCUUCAUUACUUAUGCAAUCAUCUCUGGCACAUUAAUAGAACAUCUAGACAUAUACAACAAUAAUUAAAUUCAAUCAAUUUUGAUAUGUUGGCAACUUUGAGUUACAUAUUUUUCAGCUUUGUCAUUAUAAAGGUAUAUUUGUCAAAGUAGGAGGUUAGAAUAUAUAUACA